AGUAACACGUGAGUGACCUGCCUUUUAGACUGAAACAACUUACCGAAAGGUGAGCUAAUGCCGGAUGAGUUGUAUAAGUGCAUGUUUAUAUAGGAAAAGUUGGGGAGACCUGACGCUGAAAGAUGGACUCGCGUCCCAUUAGCUAGUUGGUAGGGUAAUGGCCUACCAAGGCGACGAUGGGUAGCCGGCCUGAGAGGGUGGCCGGCCACACUGGGACUGAGACACGGCCCAGACUCCUACGGGAGGCAGCAG
rnacentral:rRNA from 1 species